rnacentral:ncRNA from 1 species
AAUAGAACUAUGAUGAGGAAUAGUAAAUUAAUUUAGAAUUGUAGAGAGUUUACGGAUGGUGAAAGUAGAUAUUUUGGUUAAUUGAAUCCACCUCUGAGUUUUAAUUUUUAAAGUGAACCGAUAAGGUUAAUUAGGGUGGCAACGCGGGUCUUCUCGUCCCUUUG